rnacentral:rRNA from 1 species
UACAGAGGUCCCAAGCGUUGUUCGGAUUCACUGGGCGUAAAGGGUGCGUAGGCGGUCGGGUAAGUCUGAUGUGAAAUCUCCGAGCCCAACUCGGAAACGGCAUCGGAUACUAUUCGGCUCGAGGAUUGGAGGGGAGACUGGAAUUCUCGGUGUAGCAGUGAAAUGCGUAGAUAUCGAGAGGAACACCAGUGGCGAAGGCGAGUCUCUGGACAAUUCCUGACGCUGAGGCACGAAAGCCAGGGGAGCAAACGGG